rnacentral:rRNA from 1 species
GCAGUGGGGAAUUUUGGACAAUGGGCGAAAGCCUGAUCCAGCAAUGCCGCGUGAGUGAAGAAGGCCUUCGGGUUGUAAAGCUCUUUUGUCAGGGAAGAAACGGUUUGGGCUAAUACCCUGAGCUAAUGACGGUACCUGAAGAAUAAGCACCGGCUAACUACGUGCCAGCAGCCGCGGUAAUACGUAGGGUGCAAGCGUUAAUCGGAAUUACUGGGCGUAAAGCGUGCGCAGGCGGUUUUGUAAGUCUGACGUGAAAUCCCCGGGCUCAACCUGGGAAUUGCGUUGGAGACUGCAAGGCUAGAAUCUGGCAGAGGGGGGUAGAAUUCCACGUGUAGCAGUGAAAUGCGUAGAGAUGUGGAGGAACACCGAUGGCGAAGGCAGCCCCCUGGGUCAAGAUUGACGCUCAUGCACGAAAGCGUGGGGAGCAAACAGGAUUAGA